rnacentral:lncRNA from 1 species
GGUAAACGUUUGUAUCCAGCUUGCAGGUAAAGGGUUACAGAUUCUAGGAAGUAUUAAAUGCAAACUUUAAAGGAUUUUAUUUUCAUCUACAGUCACAUGACACCUUAAUACCCAAUGACACUAACUACAGUAUCUCAUUAAGAGGUCAUGCAAACUCCCAAGCUAAACAAGGCAUUCUUACAUAUUUAACAUUCAAAUGCAGAAGCCAAGCUAAGCCAUGGAAGAUUGUAAUCAGAAAAGAGCUGCACUUCCUGAUCAGCAAAAAAGCUACAGGUUCUUUAAACAAGAGACAGAUUGCUAGUAUUUUGGCCUGAAAUCUGAAGACAAAUACACCAGCAGUUUAUGGCAUUUUCAGUUUAUGGCAAGGU